rnacentral:snRNA from 1 species
GAAACCCGUCUGAUAGCGCU